rnacentral:rRNA from 1 species
GACGAACGCUGGCGGCGUGCAUAACACAUGCAAGUCAAGGGGGUCAGUAGCAAUACUGGCAACCGGCGAACGGGUGCGUAACACGUAAGCGACCUACCUCAAUGUGGGGCAUAGCCGGCCUAACGGCCGGGUAAUUCCGCAUGUGAUCUUGGAGGGGCAUCUUUCCGAGAUGAAACCAGUAAUGGGCAUUGAGAGGGGCUUGCGGCCUAUCAGCUUGUUGGUGAGGUAACGGCUCACCAAGGCUACGACGGGUAGCUGGUCUGAGAGGAUGGCCAGCCACAUUGGGACUGAGAAACGGCCCAGACUCCUACGGGAGGCAGCAGUGGGGAAUCUUGCGCAAUGGUCUAACGACUGACGCAGCGACGCCGCGUGAGGGAUGACGGCCU